CUACGUGCCAGCAGCCGCGGUAAUACGGAAGGUCCGGGCGUUAUCCGGAUUUAUUGGGUUUAAAGGGAGCGUAGGCCGGAGAUUAGGUGUGUUGUGAAAUGUAGACGCUCAACGUCUGACUUGCAGCGCAUACUGGUUUCCUUGAGUACGCACAACGUUGGCGGAAUUCGUCGUGUAGCGGUGAAAUGCUUAGAUAUGACGAAGAACUCCGAUUGCGAAGGCAGCUGACGGGAGCGCAACUGACGCUUAAGCUCGAAGGUGCGGGUAUCGAACAGGAUUAGAUACCCUGGUAGUCCGCACAGUAAACGAUGGAUGCCCGCUGUUGGUACUUGGUAUCAGCGGCUAAGCGAAAGCAUUAAGCAUCCCACCUGGGGAGUACGCCGGCAACGGUGAAACUCAAAGGAAUUGACGGGGGCCCGCACAAGCGGAGGAACAUGUGGUUUAAUUCGAUGAUACGCGAGGAACCUUACCCGGGCUUGAAUUGCAGAGGAAGGAUUUAGAGAUA
rnacentral:rRNA from 1 species